GCCAGAUGUGGUAGCACAUGCCCGUGGUCCCAGCUAUUGCAAGGCUGAUGCAGAAGGAUCACUUGAGUUCCCUGAGCUCUGAGUUGUAGGGCACUAUGCUGUUUGGGUUUCUGCCCUAAGCUCGGUAUCAGUAUGGUGAUCUCCCAAGAGCAGGGGAUCACCAGCUUUCCUAAGGAGGAGUGAACAGACCCAGGUCAGAAAUGGAGCAGAUCAAAACUCCUGUGUUGGUCAGUAGUGGGAUCAUGCCAUUGAAUAGCCACUGCACUCCAGCCUGGACAACAUAGCAAGACCCCCCAAAUCUU
rfam:Otolemur garnettii contig040022, whole genome shotgun sequence.